ACUCUGCUACUCUCUUGGGAACUUCUCCCACUCCGUUGCAUAGCCGCCGCAGCCGCCGCUUUGCUGCUCGACGCUGUACUGCACGAUGUGUACAUUAUACUCACGAUGCAGAUUGCUGCUGCAGAUCCUUCCGACUCUGACGAACACGUCUUGUGGAGAGUGUCUUCGUCCGGUGUAUAGUAUGUAUGCCCGCUUAUGUAUAGAUGGGUCUUUUAGUCGGCUUUAACGAGAGUCCACGAAGAUAAGAGCUCUACAUCGACUUCUGUGACUUCUCCUGCUCCUGUAGCGUCUGUCGUUUCCAUCGCCUUAAGUUUCGAGAGAAGUAAGUUGAGUACAUUCAAUGGAUUUGGUGGUGGUGGUUCUAAAAAUAUAAAUUAAUUUAAUUAUGCUGUACGAUAAGUGAUGAACAGUACGAAAAAUUAUUGAAAACCUUUGAUGACAAUCAAUCAAACAUCAAGAAUUAUUUGGAAGGUAAAAAUACGCUAUAACGUGUAAAAUUGAUUGGCAGUAUAGUAUAGGCAUAAUAAUAUGAAAUAUCCAACAAUGCUUAAAAAAUUUAGUUUAAAUAAAGAAAUCGCUGUAAUAAAGCACGAUUAAAUAAUUCUCAAUCAUCAACAAAUAGGUGAAUUUAUGGUGUACAAAAAAUGUAAUGAGAACAUUAAAAUAUAAUUGUGUUAUAAUAAUAUUUAAAACAUAGAUAAAAUUUGUUACUACCAUAAAAUACAACAUAAAUACAUAAAAAUAUGUUAAAAUUAAAGACAGGGUAUAGGUUGACUUACGGUUAUCCUUUUCAAGAGGUGGCAGUGUGAUAGUCAUUUUGAUAAUGUGAUUGCGAAGAGAGCGCUUUCAAAAAUAUAAUAGAAAUUGAUAAAUUAUCUCUGAGCACAAACACCCUUUUUCAAGCUCCACCUUAUCCGUUGGAUCUCUCGCGCGAGAAUGAGCUUGAGCGCACGUAGCCUGAACAAUUAAGUUGUGCAAUGAUGCCAGUGACGUAAUGAUGAUGAUGUAAUUAGCUCAGAGAAAUGGUAGGGUUGAACGCUCAAUAUGGUAGGAGUAAAUUAAGCGAAAUAGAAUUUCAAAGAUGACCUCUGAACCGAGGUUGCUGACCGCGAGCUUUAAGGCUUAAAUUAUCCACGCAGAGCAAUUAUAGAGCGUAUCGAUAGAAAUAAAAAAGUGAUCUAGUCUUGUACAAAUAAAAAUUUCAAGUGUUUGUUUUGCGCUUCACAUAA